AAGCAAUCGACUUACAAAGGUGUGGAAAAUGGACUCGAUAUUAAAUCGAGAAAAAUAUGAUUUUUUAUAGUUUUAAAAUGGUUUUGAAUGAAUGAUAAAAUUAAAAGAAAACAAAUCUAUGUUAUGAUAAUGAAACUAUGAAAAUAAUAAAGCAUAAACAUAACAAAAAAUGUUAAAAGAAAUAAAAUACUAAAAUAAAAUAAAAUGCUAAAAGAAAAUACUACAUAUGAGUAUUGAACCCACCCCACUCAAGACUAUGAUACUACCCUUC
rnacentral:lncRNA from 1 species